rnacentral:piRNA from 1 species
UCACAAUCAAAACACGCUACAACGUUAC